rnacentral:rRNA from 1 species
GCUCAGAUUGAACGCUGGCGGCAUGCUUUACACAUGCAAGUCGAACGGCAGCACGAAAGAGCUUGCUCUUUUGGUGGCGAGUGGCGAACGGGUGAGUAAUACAUUGGAACGUACCGAGUAAUGGGGGAUAACUGUCCGAAAGGAUGGCUAAUACCGCAUACGCUCUGAGGAGGAAAGCGGGGGACCUUCGGGCCUCGCGUUAUUCGAGCGGCCAAUGUCUGAUUAGCUAGUUGGUGGGGUAAAGGCCUACCAAGGCGACGAUCAGUAGUGGGUCUGAGAGGAUGAUCCGCCACACUGGGACUGAGACACGGCCCAGACUCCUACGGGAGGCAGCAGUGGGGAAUUUUGGACAAUGGGCGAAAGCCUGAUCCAGCCAUGCCGCGUGUCUGAAGAAGGCCUUCGGGUUGUAAAGGACUUUUGUCAGGGAAGAAAGGGUUUGGGUUAAUACCCUGAGCUUAUGACGGUAC